rnacentral:tRNA from 1 species
GCCUGGCCAGCUCAGUGGGUAGAGCAUGUGACUUGAUCUCAGGGUUGUGGGUUUGAGCCCCAUGCUGGGCG